GUAAGGCAGAGAGUUAGCUCACCGGGAAAAUGAUAGGCCAUUCUCUAUCUCUUAUUAUCACAUCAUAAUACCGAUAUUUUCUCUUUGUCAUCUUGAUAGAAAUCCUUAGUAGAUGGCGUACAUGUCGUUAGUAAUAUUACAGAAAGCUGUUGACUUUGUUUAAGCGGUUUUGACAUUUUAUGUAUGUCACAUGUCACACAGUCCUUUUGCGUUUAUUGUCUUAUUUGUGCUUAUUAUCUAUUUUUGCGUUGUAUUUUUUACGAAUAAUUUUCGAGAAUAAUUAUUGUAAAAAUGUUUUGCAUUGUGUGUGGAUGUAGCGAAGAUGAAGUUGGAAAAUUAUUUUGUUUUCCCAAGAAUAAGGACAGACAAAAACGGCCAACCCAACCCAACCUGUGAGGGUCAUCCCGGAGAAGACGAGGACAGCGGUUUUUAGUGUAAUUAUAUUGUAAUUUAAAUAUAAAAUUUUAAAUCGCCAA